rnacentral:rRNA from 1 species
AACGAACGCUGGCGGCAUGCCUAACACAUGCCAGUCGAACGAGACCUUCGGGGCUAGUGGCGAACGGGUGCGUAACGCGUUGGAACCUGCCCUUAGGGUCGGAAUAACUCCCCGAAAGGGGUGCUAAUACCGGAUAAUGUCUUCGGACCAAAGAUUUAUCGCCUUUGGAUGGGCCCGCGUUGGAUUAGCUAGUUGGUAGGGUAAAAGCCUACCAAGGCGACGAUCCAUAGCUGGUCUGAGAGGAUGAUCAGCCACACUGGGACUGAGACACGGCCCAGACUCAUACGGGAGGCAGCAGUGGGGAAUAUUGGACAAUGGGCGAAAGCCUGAUCCAGCAAUGCCGCGUGAGUGAUGAAGGCCUUAGGGUUGUAAAGCUCUUUUACCCGGGAUGAUAAUGACAGUACCGGGAGAAUAAGCUCCGGCUAACUCCGUG